UUCUCCUCUUCCCCAACCCGACUCACCGCCCAUUUCUCUUCAUCUCUGCGCCGACGCCUUCUCCCCCUUCUAAUACGCCGAAGCUCUUCAUCUUCCCCUUUCCCUCUUCCUUUUCCUCCUCAUCGCCGAGCCCUUUCUUCUCGAAUCCUCGUCUCCGCCGACACCUCCUUUUCGACUCCACCGCCAGACGCCACGUCGCCGACGGACACCGCGCCACCGUCAGUGACCUUGCCAUCCUAGAAGACGCUACGUUGGGUUGUUGUUGCUGAUUUUCUCUCUUCGGGUCGUGGACAAAAGCCGAGCACCCGAGUCUUGCGGUUGGUUGUGCCCUAACUUCUCGAUGUCGAUGGUUGAUGAUGGUGUGAGCAUCACCGAUGGUCCCUGUUCGGCUUUGAGCAAGGAGCCCCUGUAUCUCUUGAUUGCGGUCGGCUAUUGCCCUUCUCCUGAGUAUAUCCCGAUCAGUGCCCUAGUGCCGACGUCGCACUAUCCUGUGCCCCGACUCAUUGCCAUCGCAGCAUCUUGAUUCCCUUCGAGAGAGAUCUCGGAUCUAGUUCAGGGGUCUGAGGGGAGAGCUCCACUGGUAUUGUUGUUGCAUUUGGUGCUAUUCAUCUAGCAGUGGAUCAAAUUAGGGGUAUUUGUUUUGGGAGAUCAGCAACCCCAUCUUGUGCCGGCUACCAAUUCCCGACAACCAACAUCUUCGACCAUGAGUCAACAGCGGAGCAUCCGGUUUAGGAGGUUAAUUCGAGACGAGCAUCUCAACGUGGGAUUGGUUUAUCACGAUCUACAUUUAAGG